rnacentral:rRNA from 1 species
UACGGGGGGGGCAAGCGUUGUUCGGAAUUACUGGGCGUAAAGGGCUCGUAGGCGGCCAACUAAGUCAGACGUGAAAUCCCUCGGCUUAACCUGGGAACUGCAUUUGUGACUGCAUGGCUAGAGUGCGGCAGAGGGGGAUGGAAUUCCGCGUGUAGCAGUGAAAUGCGUAGAUAUGCGGAGGAACACCGAUGGCGAAGGCAAUCCCCUGGGCCUGCACUGACGCUCAUGCACGAAAGCGUGGGGAGCAAACAGG